GACGAACGCUGGCGGCGUGCUUAACACAUGCAAGUCGAACGGAAAGGCCCUGCUUGCAGGGUGCUCGAGUGGCGAACGGGUGAGUAACACGUGGGUGAUCUGCCCCUUACUUUGGGAUAAGCCUGGGAAACUGGGUCUAAUACUGGAUUGGACCAUGCUGUAGGUGGUGUGGUGGAAAGAUUAGUUUCGGUAAGGGAUGAGCUCGCGGCCUAUCAGCUUGUUGGUGGGGUAAUGGCCUACCAAGGCGUCGACGGGUAGCCGGCCUGAGAGGGUGGACGGCCACAUUGGGACUGAGAUACGGCCCAGACUCCUACGGGAGGCAGCAGUGGGGAAUAUUGCACAAUGGGCGCAAGCCUGAUGCAGCGACGCCGCGUGGGGGAUGACGGCCUUCGGGUUGUAAACUCCUUUCAGCCAUGACGAAGCCCUUGUGGUGACGGUAGUGGUAGAAGAAGCACCGGCUAACUACGUG
rnacentral:rRNA from 1 species